UCCUCUCUCUCACAGGGCUGGAGGCUGAGGAUCCUCAAGAGAGAGAGGCCCCAGGGACUGGGAGAGUGUCAGGAUGGAAGGAGACAGCCCUUGAAUAAGUGUGUUGAGGACUGCUGGACCAUACACAAUGAACUGCGAUCUGGAGAAAUUUUUGGAGUCAGAGUUGGAGUGUUGAGUGGAAAAACAUACUGUGUGUCAGAAAUCAUCUGUUUGGAAAUCAAGACAGAGUUACCUCUGUGGUCUGACUUCUCCUCUCUUUGUGUCGAUGGUAAGUCAGAUAGUACGGCAGCACAUUGGCAGACCUUGUGCUAUAUGGUAACCAGGAUGAAUUACAUCAUGAUGCCAGUGAUUUAUUUGGUAAUAACAAAAAUACGCCAGGAUACUUUGUGGAUGAAAUUCUUACUCCUGUCCUGCAAAUUCUGCCAGAGGAAAGACCCUAUUCAUGAGGAAUAGGCAUGAUGGGGAUGCCUAUGAGCCUGGGCUCUGGAAUCAGACUGUCUGGGUUUGAUCCCAGCUUCACCUUUUAGUAACUGUGGACCUUGGCCUGAGCUCUUCUGUGCCUCAUUUUACUCACCUAGAAAAUAGGGAUGUGAACGAUACUUGGUGCACAGAGUUGCGAUGACUAAGAAAAUGCACGUAAAAUACCCCACACACUGUCUCGCACACAGUCAAUGUUCCAUGAGUGUUAGGCAUGAUUAUAACUCUGUAAGAUUAAAAAUGCUCAAGGGCAAUGACCCACAAUGAGGCCAAAUGGAUGGGUAA
rnacentral:lncRNA from 1 species